AUAUGGCAAAAGAGAAGAAGCUCUGCUAGCUGUUCUUUCCCUUCUUACCCUUACAUACUUCAUCUGGGAGACUUUACAUAUGUGAUAUUUAUGAUCUUGUUAGACUGGUAAUUACAAAGUGCCCUAGGAGGCUAGGAGGACUGACCAAGAGAGAAGGGAAAGCAUUUUGUUCUGACCAUAAUGACAUAAGGAGUUCAUUUCACACCAAACAUCUUUCCAGCAUGUUUCUCCCAUUGAGAAACAUCCUAGCAUUUAAGGCCUCUUAAUGUAAGAUAAGCCGGGUACUAUCUCUUUUACUUCUCUCUCUACUAUCUUCUUUGUGUUCUGUUUUCCUA
rfam:Otolemur garnettii contig165214, whole genome shotgun sequence.